rnacentral:rRNA from 1 species
UGGUUGAGCAAUCAGCCAGCUCAUUGGAUGUGGUUAUUAAUUUCAAUCACUAUGCUAAAACUAUUAACCCCUAGUAAACAACUGGACUAAAAUACGGAGAUAAGUACCCUCUAAUCGGGGCAACUACCUCUGGAUAACCGAAAUUUAAGAAACAACUCUUAACAACGGAUAUCUUGGUUCUCGUAUCGAUGAAGAACGCAGCGAAACGCGAUAUGUAAUGCGAAUUGCAGAAUUCAGUGAAUCAUCAAAUCUUUGAACGCAAAUGGCGCUCUCGGGAUAGGCCUGAGAGCACGCCUCUUUGAGUAUCGAUUCCACCACAUCCAGUUAACAUGCUGGGAUAUUGAGUAAUCACCUUGCAAAUGGUGUUACUUGAAGAUCAAUGAGAUGAAAGAGGCCUGGUCCGAGACUAUUGGAUUUUUUUGGCCUUCCGGUCAGAAAACUGUCUAACAGGUUUCACAAUGUGGAUAACAUCCAAUACAUUGUGUUGAUCAGUUAGGCAGGAUGUUCAAUGGUUAACGACAGAUCAGGAUAUUGAUUAGUCUCAAACCCAAUCUAAACUUUGAAUUAGAUCUCAAAUGAAGCGAGAAAACCCGCUGAACUUAAGCAUAUCAAUAAGCGGAGGA